UACGUAGGGUGCAAGCGUUGUCCGGAAUUAUUGGGCGUAAAGAGCUCGUAGGCGGUUUGUCACGUCGGAUGUGAAACCCUGAGGCUCAACCUCAGGCCUGCAUUCGAUACGGGCAGACUAGAAUUCGGCAGGGGAGACUGGAAUUCCUGGUGUAGCGGUGAAAUGCGUAGAUAUCGGAAGGAACACCAGUGGCGAAAGCGGCUUCCUGGUCCAGCACCGACGUUCAGGCACGAAAGCGUGGGGAGCAAACAGG
rnacentral:rRNA from 1 species